CAGUGAGCAUGCGCAGAACGGAAGCAAAUCACGGGCAAGGGGUGUUUGUGCCACACAGAAAAGAGGCAAAGGAAAGGUCUGCACCCCAACUUCUGCAGGAGCUGAGGUGCUAGCAUGCUGCUUCAGGCUCACGGACAGCCAGACGCUGGUGAUCACCUAUGCAGCUUCGUGGUCUUUUCUUCUCUAGCACACUCCUGUUCUACCCGGAGGACCGAAUGAGAGACCCACACUGAUAUCCCGGCUCUGCAAACCUGACUCUGCAGCGAUGUUCCGAUAUUAAACAGAGCCACAUGCUGCCUCGAGACUGUCGUAUGGUUAGAGUGGAACCCAGCAUCCCUCGCAUGGUCCACAGGCCACUAUUUAAGGAGAGAAUGUUUUAGUUCCUGACUUAAACCAGAGAGCUCAACUCCAUAGGAAAAGACACUGAGUCGGUUGACAGAAGACUUGAGCUCUAAUUCCAUCAUCUCUACAGCUUGGACCCGGCACCCUGCUGCUAGCAGGGUCAUUUUGAGGAAUCCAUCCCGUCCUCUCCUCUGCUGCUGGCUGCACCGCCUCGCUGAUGUGGUGGGGAGCGUGGACUCAGUGGUGUGCACAAGGGAAGAUGUGACACCCAGGCUAUCACUGAGUAACUUUCACUGAAGAGAAGCUGAGAACAAGGAGAAAAGACCCUGCUGGUUGGUAAGCAGGUUCAGGGUAAGUAGAGAGUUUUCUAAGGCUUCACUGGGUUUGGGCUCAGGCUGUCUGAGCUAGGGCUCAGGCAGCAGGAAGAGGGACCGGCUAUUUCCUGAGAGCCACACCUCCAGGAGGAGCUGAGAGGAAGCAUAAGCCCGGAUCUGUGUGGGAAGCAGCCCUCACCGGCAGCCAGGCCGUAGGAGCCCUGUGACUCAUGAGCCUUUCCCAGCAGCAGCACAGAAAGAAGCCAGCAUCUCAGAUGCUUUAAGUGUUGAUUUGUUUAAAACAAAACCAUGAAAUUUACCAUGAACUCCUGAAGAUGAUCUCAAAAAUUCGUUAUAAACUGCUUCAAACUAGAAGAGAAUGCCGUGCCUGAUGCACUGUACAUCUAACCGUGUUAGAGCUGACAGCAUCAAAGACACAAAAUCAUCUCGUGGAGAUGCUGUUUACACUGAACUGCCUUGAUAAAAAAGGAUUGCUGAUUUUUGAGAGUAGUCAUGGACAUCAUUGACAACAGAUAAUAAAUUUAAAAGCUUUAAUUUUGCAGUUGGCUUUAAAAGGCAAGGUUAUGUCUUAGAUGUGGUAAUGGCCAAGUGAAUUCCUCACUGUCUGGUUGGGACUGGUGGGUGUGCUGACCUCAGCCCUUCCCCAGACUUUCUGUAAGGACUGGGGCUUCAGCUCUGCUCUCUGGGCCUCCUGUGCUCCCAGAGGAACCUGGCCUCCUUAGGUUCACUGCUAACCUCCAAUGCCUCACUUCCUAAAAUCACAUAAAAUGCCAUGGAGCAGUGCAACUGAGGGGCACCAGAGACUGGUCCACCAGUUUCCUUUUGAUUCCUGCUGAAAUUCAGACUUUUGCAGAACAUGGUGGCUGAGUUUCUUAAAGGUACACAGACUGUUGAGCAACAAAUCACAUAGAGGUGAUAUGGAGAGAGACAGACAGACAGACACACAGACUAAAUAAAGUUGAAUUUCAGGUGCAUACUAAGAAGAAAAGGACCUUACCCCCAA
rnacentral:lncRNA from 1 species